CUUUUGACCAUGGGUUCCCAACCUUUUUUUCGCCUGUUUACACAGUGACAACUUUUCGAAAAGAUGUCAACAGAGAUAUGAAGAGUUGCAGAGUAAUUUAGCAGGAUUGAGCAUGAAAGAAAAACCAACACUGUGUGGGACUCUGGCUAUUAAAAAAGGUAUACCCAUCUUUAUUAUGAGAAAACACAGGCAGACGCAGGGAGAACGCUCAUAUUUUGUAAAGGCUGUAACCUCGCCAGUAAUCAAACCUUUCUGGACCCUUGAUAGGAUUAAAGAAGAGUUUGAGAGGAUAACUACUUUGCAACUAGAGCCAAAAUGUUUGUCAUUUUUUAAUAAAUACAGAUCAAAGCUGUUGUCUGUUUUUAAUGUCAGGGAAAGUGCUUCAGGCAAAAUGAUGUGUGACAUAAUGAGUUGUCUACACAAGGCAAAGAAGAAGCAAAUUCUGAAAACUGCAUAUAAUGCCUUUGUAACAUGUGGAGGAAAUAUUUUUAAUAGAGAUGUUUGCUGUUUUAUAGGGUGAAAAUGCAAUAGAGAAGAUAUGUCAUCAUUUGCUGCUUAAUGGAGUAUAUGGGGGAAAGUAGCCUAUCAAAGAGCACCUAGAUGUGGAUUUUCCUGAUGUUUCUCAAUGCACUUUGAACAUCUACAUCAUUAAAAAGAAACUGUGGAACCCGCUGAUGUCCCUGAAGACAUUGGCAUCAUAGUUGAAGGUCAAGAAAUACACAAGUAAAUGAUUUAUGAAUGCUGAUAGUUUAAUAUGAUGUUGAAUAAUUUUUGUAAACUACGUUUUCGUUAAAGAGACUGAACAGAAGGAAAAAAGAUAUAGGUGUAUGUGUGCGGUAUUUUGUAUUAUUUAUUAUUCAGCAGACCCCCAUGACCCUGUAGUUAGGAUAUAGUGGGUUGGGUAAUGGAUGGAUGGAUGGAUGGAUGUAUAUAAGAUUAUAUAAUUUCUCUAUCCAAUGUUUUACCUAAAGUUUAGUUGAAAUACAUUAUCAAAAGAAAGCAUUAGACCUAGCAAAAUUAUGUUAAUUAAAUUGCAGUGUGCCCCAAAUGUAUAAGCAAAUUGGUACAUGUUCAAUGUAUAAGAAUAAAAAUUGAGUAAAUUCAAAUUCCACAAGUUCUGUAUGUAAAAUUUAUAUACAUUAUAUCAAAAAAGUGUUAACAUAAUGUAAGUAAUGUUUAUGGGGAAUGCUAUGCAUUUAAUGUGUAUAAA